CACGUAGUUAGCCGUGGCUUCCUCCUUGGGUACCGUCAUUAUCGUCCCCAAAGACAGAGCUUUACAACCCGAAGGCCUUCAUCACUCACGCGGCGUUGCUGCAUCAGGGUUUCCCCCAUUGUGCAAUAUUCCCCACUGCUGCCUCCCAUAGGAGUCUGGGCCGUGUCUCAGUCCCAAUGUGGCCGAUCACCCUCUCAGGUCAGCUACGCAUCGUCGCCUUGGUGAGCUUCUACCUCACCAACUAGCUAAUGCGCCGCGGGUCCAUCUUAUAGCGGAUUGCUCCUUUGGUUAUCGAUCCAUGCGAAUCAACAACUUUAUGCGGUAUUAAUCUUCCUUUCGGAAAGCUAUCCCCCGUCUAUAAGGCAGGUUACCCACGUGUUACUCACCCGUCCGCCGCUAAUCCGUUCCCGAAGGAACUUCAUCGCUCGACCUGCAUGUGUUAGGCACGCCGCCAGCGUCGUCUCGAGCCACGGACGUCAACUC
rnacentral:rRNA from 1 species